AUUGAACGCUGGCGGCAGGCCUAACACAUGCAAGUCGAGCGGAUGAAGAGAGCUUGCUCUCUGAUUUAGCGGCGGACGGGUGAGUAAUGCCUAGGAAUCUGCCUGGUAGUGGGGGAUAACGUUCCGAAAGGAACGCUAAUACCGCAUACGUCCUACGGGAGAAAGCAGGGGACCUUCGGGCCUUGCGCUAUCAGAUGAGCCUAGGUCGGAUUAGCUAGUUGGUGAGGUAAUGGCUCACCAAGGCUACGAUCCGUAACUGGUCUGAGAGGAUAAUCAGUCACACUGGAACUGAGACACGGUCCAGACUCCUACGGGAGGCAGCAGUGGGGAAUAUUGGACAAUGGGCGAAAGCCUGAUCCAGCCAUGUCGCGUGUGUGAAGAAGGUCUUCGGAUUGUAAAGCACUUUAAGUUGGGAGGAAGGGCAGUAAGUUAAUACCUUGCUGUUUUGACGUUACCGACAGAAUAAGCACCGGCUAACUUCGUGCCAGCCGCCGCCGUAAUAC
rnacentral:rRNA from 1 species